rnacentral:lncRNA from 1 species
GGAGGAAUACACCAACAACAUCUCGACACCUGCUGACGGCCAUAUUGUACUCAUACAGGUCCCUCGCUCCAAGUGGGAGAAGGAGGACUACGAAUCAGAGGAAGAGGAAGGAGGGGUCAGGGUUCAACUACUCCGCCCCUUGCUCGCCCCCUCCCUCCCUUUCCCCCCCGGACCCCACGUCGCCGUGACAACGGAGACGGAGGCAGGGCGAUGGAAAGAGAGGGACUGUACCUUUCCCAAGCCGGAGAGAACUAUGUCCCCCUCUAGUGGCAGAGACAGAGAAGACGGCCUGCAGGAUAGGAAACAGUCCGGAGACCACAUACCUACUGAGAAAGACAGAGAGAUGGAGAGGGAGAGAGAUCGGUUAAAGGAAAAGAUGCGGGAGAGAGAGAGGGAGACAGAGCGGGGGAAAGAGAGAGAGAGGGAACACAGCCGCGCUUCUGACAAAGAUAUGGACAGACCGAGAAAGGUUCUCUCUUCCUCUCAGCGUCCGGAGCGAGAGAGGAGAGAGAGAGAAGGAGAGAGGACUGGGGAGAGAGGGAGCGACCACAGCAGUGAGAAGAGCUCGUCUCAGCGGCCGGAGCGAGAGAGGAGGGAGAGAGGAGAGAGGACUGGGGAGAGGACUGGGGAGAGAGGAAGCGACCACAGCAGUGAGAAGAGCUCGUCUCAGCGGCCGGAGCGAGAGAGGAGAGAAGGAGAGAGGACUGGGGAUAGAGGGAGCGACCACAGCAGUGAGAAGAGCUCGUCUCAGCGUCCGGAGAGGGAGAGGAGAGAGAGAGAAGGAGAGAGGACUGGAGAGAGAGGGAGCGACCACAGCAAGAGGAGAGAAGGAGAGAGGACUGGAGAGAGAGGGAGCGACCACAGCAGUGAGAAGAGCUCGUCUCAGCGGCCGGAGCGAGAGAGGAGAGAAGGAGAGAGGACUGGAGAGAGAGGGAGCGACCACAGCAGUGAGAAGAGCUCGUCUUCCUCCUCACACUCUCACUCACGGGAUCGUAAACCUUUAUCUUCUUCCAGGGACCACAAAGCAACUUCUGACCGUAGACCACCGGACCCCAGAGCCAGGGAGCACAGAGACCACCUCCACCACAAACAUGAAGACAACAACGACCAGAUCUCAUCCACCGUUGGCCGUAACACCGACUCUACUGACCGUAGACCACCGGGAGACCACCGGGAGACCACCGGGGAGCUAGGCGGUGCCUCGCCCGUCUCCAAGAGCGACCAACCCCCAUCUGACCCUUCCUCUUCCUCCUCCUCCUCCACUCAGAGAUCUCAGGGAGGGUCUGAGCCCACCAGACCCAGCGAGAGCAGCCCUGGCAGGGACACGACGCAGGAUAUAUACGGCUCCAUGGAGAACCAGCCCGGGAGGGGAAAGGCUGAGGGAGAAGAGCCCAGAGCAGAGAGCUUCUCGGCGGGGAGACAGAGCCAGCAGGCCAGCCUAGGAACCCUAGAGAAGGAGACGAGUGGUGGAAAGCCCCAACAACACCCGGCCUCACUCCUACAGCCCCCAGGA